rnacentral:rRNA from 1 species
UACGUAGGAGGCAAGCGUUGUCCGGAAUUACUGGGCGUAAAGCGCGUGUAGGCGGUACGGGCAGUCUGCUGUGAAAGCGCCCCGCUUAACGGGGCGAGGUCGGCGGAAACUCCCGCACUGGAGGACGGUAGAGGGGGGUGGAAUUCCCGGUGUAGUGGUGAAAUGCGUAGAGAUCGGGAGGAACACCAGUGGCGAAGGCGGCUACCUGGCACACAACUGACGCUGAGACGCGAAAGCGUGGGGAGCGAACCGG